GUGAAGGACUGUCCUCGCUGCCUCGACAAUUGUUCUAUUGUCUCGCUCGACGGCGCCGUUUUGCUCCGGGCUGUAAGCGACUUUGUCGAAUCACUUGUUGGAAGAAUUGGCAAUGGACGUUCACGAUGAAAUAGACUAUCGAGAAAAUGAGGAAAGUAAGUAUUGUCUUCUCAUAGAUAUUACGAUAGAAUAUACGGGUAAAUACUUGCAUUGAUCGACGCUUUAUUGUAUAUCACGUUAUACCAAAAGAGUUUGUUACGCUCAUCAUAAAUAUUCUCAUCGAGGCUCGCAAGACAUAUGCUCGCGAAUAAUGCGCCACUGGAAUGUGUGUAUUGUAUACACGUUGUUUACUUGCAUGCUCUACAACGGAUACUGAUAUAUGUAUCUCAGACCCAGCUGUCUCUAUGCUUCGUAAAAAGCAGCAAGAUAAACACGGAUGAUGAACCGCUGUACGACAGUGUGGCUUCCGACGACGAUUACGCGUCAUAUUAGAUUUAAUGAUUCCGUGACAGAAGUCAUCCUGAACAGAGCCUACGAUAGUACAUGGACUUAAAGGACGGUGCCUAAAGUGGGAUUAUGGGCGAGGGGAAAGGCUCCCAAAGGCAUGAGGGGAAAACAGCUCUGUUUGAGCCCACAAGUGGUGCCUUCAGUGCGGUCCCGCUUGAUUUUGAACAUGCUUAUUCGUCUGAUUCGCCUGGAACAUGCAUGUUGAAUAUGUGAAUUGUCAGUGCCGUCAUGAUAUUUCAUGAGACAAUCGUAAUGAAGUAAUGACUUUUCAAAACAAUAAUUGUGAGAUGCAUAACAUGACGUGUUACAUUAUAUUUUUAGGAACAUAUAUAUAAAUGGAAGAGCAUAUUAUCACAUAGAGAAGAAAUCGGAAGAUAAUCGCUAGGUUACUUACCAAAGGGCUUACUUUGAAAAGAUUAUAUAUAUGCUGAACAAUUUCGAAAACAAAUGCACAAUGAAGAUGUGAACGUACAACAUAAAGUAGCAUAUGGAGAGGAUUCAGUGUCGGGAAGGAGCAGUAAUGAAUCAAGACCUAAGUAUAUGGAGAGGAUCCAGUGUCGGGAAGGAACAAUAAUGAAUCAACACCUAUAAAGGAUCCAGUGCCAGCAUGGAGGAAUAAUGAAUCAACACCGGAGCAUAUGGAGAGGAUCCUGUGUCGGGAAGGAGAAAUAAUGAAUCAACAUCUGUAAAAGCAUAUCCAGAAGAUCCAGUGUUGGGAAGGAGGAAUAAUGAAUCAAUACGCACGCGGUGCCUAAGUUGGUUGGAAUUAAUGUACUAUCGAAAGCAGAGAAAUUAAUAUUACAAAGGGAAGGAGACGUAGAAUACAUGGAGCAAUUUGAAACAGUGACAGAAGAACCUGCAGCUGAUUCGUGAUGAUCCUGAUGAUCAAUUAAAUUGUGCUUCGGUGCU